rnacentral:rRNA from 1 species
CAGUAGCCGCGGGAACACGUAGGUGGCAAGCGUUGUCCGGAAUUAUUGGGCGUAAAGGGCUCGCAGGCGGUUUCUUAAGUCUGAUGUGAAAGCCCCCGGCUCAACCGGGGAGGGUCAUUGGAAACUGGGAAACUUGAGUGCAGAAGAGGAGAGUGGAAUUCCACGUGUAGCGGUGAAAUGCGCAGAGAUGUGGAGGAACACCAGUGGCGAAGGCGACUCUCUGGUCUGUAACUGACGCUGAGGAGCGUAAGCGUGGGGAGCGAACAGGAUUAGAUACCCGCGUAGUCCCUGUCUCUUAUAC